CUAGGUGAACCUGCGGAAGGAUCAUUACCGAGUGAGGGCCCUCUGGGUCCAACCUCCCACCCGUGUUUAUUUUACCUUGUUGCUUCGGCGGGCCCGCCUUAACUGGCCGCCGGGGGGCUUACGCCCCCGGGCCCGCGCCCGCCGAAGACACCCUCGAACUCUGUCUGAAGAUUGUAGUCUGAGUGAAAAUAUAAAUUAUUUAAAACUUUCAACAACGGAUCUCUUGGUUCCGGCAUCGAUGAAGAACGCAGCGAAAUGCGAUACGUAAUGUGAAUUGCAAAUUCAGUGAAUCAUCGAGUCUUUGAACGCACAUUGCGCCCCCUGGUAUUCCGGGGGGCAUGCCUGUCCGAGCGUCAUUGCUGCCCUCAAGCACGGCUUGUGUGUUGGGCCCCGUCCUCCGAUCCCGGGGGACGGGCCCGAAAGGCAGCGGCGGCACCGCGUCCGGUCCUCGAGCGUAUGGGGCUUUGUCACCCGCUCUGUAGGCCCGGCCGGCGCUUGCCGAUCAACCCGAAUUUUUAUCCAGGUUGACCUCGGAUCAGGUAGGGAUACCCGCUGAACUUAAGCAUAUCAUUAA
rnacentral:rRNA from 1 species